CUUUCUUUGCUGACGAGUGGCGGACGGGUGAGUAAUGCUUGGGAAUCUGGCUUAUGGAGGGGGAUAACUGUGGGAAACUGCAGCUAAUACCGCGUAUUCUCUGAGGAGGAAAGGGUGGGACCUUAGGGCCACCUGCCAUAAGAUGAGCCCAAGUGGGAUUAGGUAGUUGGUGGGGUAAAGGCCUACCAAGCCUGCGAUCUCUAGCUGGUCUGAGAGGAUGACCAGCCACACUGGAACUGAGACACGGUCCAGACUCCUACGGGAGGCAGCAGUGGGGAAUAUUGCGCAAUGGGGGGAACCCUGACGCAGCCAUGCCGCGUGAAUGAAGAAGGCCUUCGGGUUGUAAAGUUCUUUCGGUAAUGAGGAAGGGAUGUUGUUAAAUAGAUAGCAUCAUUGACGUUAAUUACAGAAGAAGCACCGGCUAACUCCGUGCCAGCAGCCGCGGUAAUACGGAGGGUGCGAGCGUUAAUCGGAAUAACUGGGCGUAAAGGGCACGCAGGCGGACUUUUAAGUGAGAUGUGAAAUCCCCGAGCUUAACUUGGGAACUGCAUUUCAGACUGGGAGUCUAGAGUACUUUAGGGAGGGGUAGAAUUCCACGUGUAGCGGUGAAAUGCGUAGAGAUGUGG
rnacentral:rRNA from 1 species